GGCGAACUGCUCAGUAACAUGUAGCUAACCUGCCCUUGGGUCAAGGAUAACCUCGGGAAACUGAGGCUAAAACUUGAUAGGAGAUUUACCCUGGAAAGAUUUAUCUCUUAAAUUCGUGCCUAAGGAUGGGGCUGCACUGGAUUAGGUUGUUGGCGGGGUAAUAGCCCACCAAGCCAAAGAUCCAUAAGGGCUCUUAGCGGAGAAGCCCUGAGAGGGAAUCUGAGAUACUAUUCCCACUCCUACGGGAGGCAGCAGGUAGGAAUAUUUUGCAAUGCACGAAAGUGUGACAAAUUGAGUCAGAGUGUUUUUCAUAUGAAAAACUUUUAUGAAAUGUAAAAAGUUUCACGAAUAAGGACUGGGUAAGACUGGUGCCAGCCGCCGCGGUAAUACCAGCGGUCCAAGUCGCAGCCAUUAUUAUUGGGUCUAAAACAUCCGUAGCUUGCUUGAAAAGUUCCUUGUGAAAUUUUAUAUCUCAAGUAUAAAACGUGCAAGGAAUACUAUCUUGCUAGAGACUGGAAGACGUAACGAGUAUGUUCGAAGUAGCGGUAAAAUGUUUUAAUCUUGAACAGACUUACAAUAGCGAAGGCACGUUACGAGGACAGUUCUGACAGUGAGGGAUGAAGGCUAGGGGCGCAAAACGGAUUAGAUACCCGUGUAGUCCUAGCAGUAAACACUGCACACUAAACAUUGGGACCUCCUCGAGAGGUUUCAGUGCUGCAGGGAAGCCGAAGAGUGUGCUACCUGGGAAGUAUAGUCGCAAGGCCGAAACUUAAAGGAAUUGGCGGGGAGACACUACAACAGGUGACGCGUGCGGUUCAAUUAGAUUAUACACCGUGAACCUCACCAGGAGCGACAGCAGAAUGAAGGUCAGUCUAAAGGGCUUACCUGACACGCUGAGAGGAGUUGCAUGGCCGACGUCAGCCUGUGCUGUGAAGUGACCUGUUAAAUCAGGUAACAGGCAAGACCCACGUGCAUAUUUAC
rnacentral:rRNA from 1 species